GAAGGGAAUCAAGGCUGAAUCCACCUCUUACUACUGUCCUCAGGAUGGAGCUUAGAAGAGGAGAGUGAGAGGUGGCUUCCUCCAAUGAUGGGACCUCUUUCUUUGGAAAAUUGUUUUAGUAAUUACCCAGGCUUUGAUGUCUGUGUUUCCAUAUGUGUUGCCAUUCCUUGAUGCUAGAAGUGAUUUCCCUCAUAACCUCUUAUCCUCAUAACUUUACUUCCCGGAGCAUAGGACAUGCUCUGAGCCUGACAGCAUUAUGAAACUCCUGGGCUUGUCUGGCCCAUCCCUCCAGAGUGCACCACCUAGGACAGGACUUUAUGAAAAUGAAGUUGCCACUGACUGGAAGUCAGUAGUGAUCUGCUGGGUUCAGAUGAACUCAAACAAGCAUGGAACCCCGAAGGCCAGGCUGUGGAAGGUCAUCUCUGAACCUCCUUGAAGCAAAUGGCAUUGAAAAUGACUUGACUUUGAGAAGCACCCACAAGCCUGGGAUGGCCCAGGUGGGUUUGGGAGAACGCUGAUGGCAGGAGAAAGCCAGCCCGGUGUUAACAUUCCAUGUGGGAAAUCUGCCUAACGGUAAUGCACAUGGGGAAUGAUUGAGAGCUGAUGUUACAAGCAGAACACACUGCUCAAAUUGAUUGGUGACUUUGUUCAGCGGUAACUCUAAUCUCCAAGGCAUACCUCCUCCAUCUCUUUAUCUCUCAGAGUGAAUUAAUAAAACACCGAUAGAGCAUGAGAAGGUAAAUCCUCAGCCCUCAUCACCGGCACUGCCAACAAAGCCCUGGCUACCUGCAGACAAUUUAAAAGAAGAAAGACUUGAGUUCUGGCUGAAGCAACUUUAACCUUCAACAGUUGUAUAAUUUAAAUAUAUUCUUUUUAAUUUAAAGUUACCUCUUAAAAUUUGGCCCUAAAGACUCUGCUUGGAACGAUGGGAGCAUGACGCAGUGUGCAGAUGAUACUUUACUGAGUUGUACCCUUGAAACCUGUAUGGUUUUGCAAACCAAUGUCAUCCCAAUAAGUUCAAUGAAAAAAAAAAUAAAACCAUAAAAAAAGAAAGACAAUUUCCUGAUCUGCUGUUUUGAGUGAGUAUUCAAACAGAGCACCUACCAAUGGGGCUUUAUAAAUGCAUUUGUGUUUUCCUUGUUUUUGUUUUUGCAACAUCCAUUUUCGUU